rnacentral:tRNA from 1 species
CCACCGCGAGCGCCAGGCCCGUCAGCAGGACGUCGUUCACACCGCCGUGGAACGCGGCCGGCAGCCGCGUCAGCAGCGGAUCGGUCCGCUGUGGGGGA